rnacentral:RNase_P_RNA from 1 species
GUUCUUUGCCGGAUAGUCGCUCUGCGCUUGAUAUAUCGAUAUUUCGAAAUAUCGGGUUGUGGGGAGGAAAGUCCGAACACCCUUCGACAAGCUUAGGAUAAACCGGAGUUUGAAGAAGAAAAGCGAUAGUGGCUAACAGCCACGCUUUAUGGAAGAAAUUCUGUAGGGACGGAAAGUACAACAGAAAAUAUACAGCCGCCCGCCCCUAAAGGGUAAGGAGGCAAUGGUGAAAUCGUGCGGUAAGAGCGCACGUCGUGCUAUCGCGAGAUAGUAAGGUUGAAAACACCUAUCCGGUGCAACCUCGUAUCCGCCAGCUGGCGGAGAGGGCUAGAACCCGAGAGUAAUCGAGGGUCCAGAUAGAUGGCUAUCCCCGACAAUAGGGCUCGCGCCCAAUUUGACGGGACAAAAUUCGGCUUAUAGGCAGAGAACACAA